rnacentral:lncRNA from 1 species
AUAACCCGCAUGCACAAGGUUUUUACCACACUGUACACUGUUUUACCGAGUAGGAUGCUAUAAUGGUUUUCAAAAAGGUUUUCAUUUGUUUCAAAAAUCUCACUUAAUAUGUUUUAUCUAAAUUCAUUUUUAAACUGGUUUAUAAAGGUUCCAAAGAUUUCUAAAGGUUGUCACACUUAUUUUUCCAAAGAAUACCAAAAUGUGAUUUUCCCCGAGUAUAAAGAUUUUUCCAAGUUUCAUCAAAGUUCCCUUUCACGACGUAUACUUUUACUUGUUAAUUACUGAUGCUUCGCUUCCACUUAUUUUAAACUCCUACUUGAUAACGCUUUCACUUCGCGAUACGUUUAUACCUGUUAUCGCCUCUACAUCGCUUAUACUUGUAGUCGCUUAUACCUGAUAUUGUCUCUAUUUCGAUUAUAUUGAUAGCCACUUAUACCGGAUAGACGCUUUUACUUCACCAGUUGUCGCUUCCACUUCGUGAUAUACUUAUACUUGGUACACUUAUACUUCACGAUUCGGUUAUUCCACACUGUACGAUUACACACCACGAUGAUACGUUUCCACUUGUUACACACUCAAUCGUAGUUAGGUACCUGAUAUUGUCUCUAUUUCGAUUAUAUUGAUAGCCACUUAUACCGGAUAGACGCUUUUACUUCACCAGUUGUCGCUUCCACUUCGUGAUAUACUUAUACUUGGUACACUUAUACUUCACGAUUCGGUUAUUCCACACUGUACGAUUACACACCACGAUGAUACGUUUCC